ensembl:lncRNA
GGGGGCGCCAAAACUGACUUGCUCGUUUAGUAGCUGGAGGCGGGCUGCUUCCAGAAAUGCAUAUCUCACUCAGCAAAUCAUGUACGGACUUAUUUAAAAGUUUGUAUGUGUGUGGGUGCACUAUCUACCCACAACAACACCCCAAAUCCCAGGAAAAGUGCUGUUUUCUUAAUAUAUCCCCUUUAAGACUUCCAUUUGGAAUAACCUCCACCUCCCGAAGUUUUUCCUAGAACUGUCCAACAACUCUUGAUGGAAAGAACCAACUGAAGACAGACUGGCUGGAGGAGCGUGUGGAGUCCAGACACACACUAGGCAAGUCUCAUGGAAGAGCCAGACAGAGCACCCUGAUAUCAACCGCCGACCCGGAGAAGAUUUGAGUUGCCUUUUUCCCCCCUCCCUUUUCCACCCACCUUUAUGAAAUAAAUGUCAUACUUUUGAUUUCACCGC